AAGUCGUAACAAGGUCUCCGUUGGUGAACCAGCGGAGGGAUCAUUGCUGGAACAAACGCCCUCACGGGUGCUACCCAGAAACCCUUUGUGAAUACUACCUAAAAAUGUUGCCUCGGCGCAGGUUGGCCCUUUUACAGGGCCCCUUCUCCCCUAGGGGUUAAGGAGCAGACCGGCCGGCGGCCCUAUAAACUCUUGUUUUUGUAAAAUCAUCUGAGUAAAAAAAAUAAAUGAAUCAAAACUUUCAACAACGGAUCUCUUGGUUCUG
rnacentral:misc_RNA from 1 species